UCAAACCCCUUCCUUCUAGGUUGCAAAUAGUUGCUUCAAGUCAACUUGAUUGUAGGAUUUGUGUUGCUAUAAUUGUACGAGUAAGUCAUUUAUAGGUAUUCUAAUAUUUAAUGCUUUAUAAAAUUUCUAAAGUUUACAAACCUCACCGUCACUCCCAUUUCACUUCUUGGUUUUCUCAAACUCUCUCUCUCCCCUCCUCUGCGUUCUUCAUCUCUGCUUUCUCAGUCUCUCUCUCUCUCUCUUCUUCCUCUCUUCCUCCAAAUCUCUCUCUCUCUCUCUCUCUCUCCAGUCUUCUCAUGUCAUCCUCGCGGAUUCCUUCUUUCAAACCAUGAUUUUCCCUCGCCCCUUUCGAAUCGGAACCCCAUCCAAAUUGGAAGAUUCUAAUCUGAAUUUUCCAAUCUCUCACAGGUAAUUUUUGAAUCAAAAUGAAUGUGAUUUAUAUUGUGGUUUUGGUGAAUUAAAAUGGGUUUUUCUUUUAAUUAUUUUGUUGGGGUUUUGGAUAUUGUUCAUAUUUUGGGGUUUUCCAUAUUUCUCAUAUUUGUUUGUCGUGUUUUUGAUAUUUUGUUUCUCAUUUGCCUUUUUUUUCUUUUUUUUUUUAUAUUUAUUUAUAUCUGAAGUAUAUAUUAAACAAAAGAUUGGGAUCAAAUAUCACAUUAACUUGAUUCGGGUUGAAAUUUCUUUCAACUUGUUUUGAUUAUAUUUACUUAGUGUUGCAUGCCAUUGGAGAUCUGACUGUAAUUUGGUUUUAUGUAGGUUUUGACUUGCAGUUUGUUUUGUUCAUGAUUUCUACAUGAAUGGACAAAAGAUUAAAAAUAAUAAUAAAAAAGAACUGAAACUGAACCGAACAAAAAUAAAAAAAAAGUUGAACCGAACCGAACCGAAUCAAACCGAAAAUUCGGUUUGGUUUCGAUUUUCGAUUUGGUUUCAGUUUUGACAAAAACCGAACCGAUUCAAAUCGAACCCACCCCUACCUGCUUCACAACUAUUUGUCAGUAAGUUCCUAACUUUGGUUUAUUCAAUUAUAUAUCAAGUUAAUAUUUUUAUGGGUUAAUCUCAGUUUACUACCUUUAUGUUUCUUAGUUUUCAACAUUUAUUACAUCAAGUUUUUUCAUCCCAGAGUGGUACCUGAAGUAAAAAUUUUGGGAAAGUUUCAUACAUCCGUCAAUGUUGUUGUUAAGUUAGCCUUUAAUUGAUGAUGUGGUGCCCAUGUGGAUAUUAAAAAAAUUUAAAAAUUUAAAAAAAUAGAAAUUAAAAAUACCAAAAAUAUAUAAUAAAAAAAUCUUCUUCUCUCCCCCUUUGAUCUCCACCAUUAGUAUCCCCUUUACCAGGACUCAAGGUCGAGUCCCUCCAGUUCGCGGAAGAAAUUCACCGACUCAUGACCAUUAAUAUCCCCUUUACCGUGCCGUCAAAGAACGCUAGCUCAUUCACUAUGCUUUUAGAACUUCCGCCGACCCAUGUUUCUCCACCUAUUGUUAGAACCUGACCCUCCCAACACACGCCCUGUGCCCAGUAACCCACUUUCGAUUCAGGCCUAAAUUUCCCUACAAAGCCCGCUCUAAUUGACCGCGCCGCCAAGUUCUCGAUCACCAUCGCCCUUGGAUCUCCACCAUCAGGAGCUCAUGCUGCUUCAUCUUUAGUUUUAGGGUUCUAAACGAGAAGUUGCAGAUGAAAUCUGACAUGGAUGUGACUGGGGGGCUGCGACGAGAAGAGCAAGGAGGGCUCCCGUUGAUUUGACCGCAAUCGACCGAGAAAAGAGAGAGGGGAUGGAAGAAAAUCCACCGCCAUCCUUCCCCACGCCAUUAACGCGAGCUUCCAUCACAUAGCAACCAUUCAUCUCCAUCACCAGUCGGUGAUUUCAUUGACAAUUGUACCUUUUGUCCUUCCCGAACUUAAGAGAGGUGAAAACAGAAAAAAGUGGAAGAGACAUAGAUGAGAAGAAGAAGGAAUGGAUGGGGUGGGUUGGUGGCAGAGAUGGUGGACAGUGGAAAGACUCUCCUCGUGAUGGUAGAGAUUAAAAGGGGAGAAAAUAAUAUUUCUUUUCUACUUUUUUUUUAAUUUUUAAUUUUUUAACCUUUUUUAUAUCCACAUGAUGUCCAGUUAUUGUCCACGUACGUGCCACGUCACCAGUUAACGGCUGACUUAAUAGCAACCUUAACGGAUGUAUGAAAUUGUCCCAAAAUUUUGAUUUCAACUACCACUCUGGGAUGAAAAAAACUUGAUGUACUAAAUGUUGAAAACCAAGAAACUUGAGAGUAGGAAACUGAGAUUAACCCUAUUUUUACAUUAAUUUUUUUUUCCUUUUUCAACUUUAACUUUAAUUUUAGUUUUGGUUUUUUUUAUUAUUAUUUUAAUUUAAUACUCGAUAAAUUGUAGACAAACUACAAUUUUGACGACAUAAACGAGUCGAUGAACAGCUACCUGGACAGGUUGUUUUACGAGCAGUACAAGCAGUGGAAGAGCGGCCGCCACAAACAUUUUGACUUGUUUGAUGAUCCAGAGGUCGCUCUAGAGAAGGAUUGCCUGCUAGAGUUAAAGGAUCAACCGGACGAGUGGGUGUGGCUCUACGACCAUUUUCUGGAGCCCGCCUAUGUGAAGAAGGCGAAGGCGAACAAGAUCAACUGAGAGAAGAAGACUCUUAUCCACCAUUCUGGUUCGAGACCAUUCUCCUAUAGGAUGAGGGCGCAACGACAAGCAAUGAGUGUGUUUAAUAUUCACACUUCCAAUUUCUUACAAAUAUUCAAUUUAUUUUCUGUUGUCUUAAUGUUUUUUUUUUUUUUUCGUUUUUUGUUUCAGGGAUUCUAAAUUCCUCAAGAUAGACGUCUUUAAGGAUGUUUAUGUUCGGCCAAAGGAUGAGCUUGCCAAAAGUUGCACGUGACAAUGGUGGAGAGAAGCCAGACCAUCCUUCAGGAGUCUGCCUCCUAGCUUCCCCUGGACACUUCUAUCGAGUCCAUGGCUCCACCCGAGGAUGCAGGGUUUUGAGAUCUUGACUGAGACCUUGGAUGCGACCCUCGAGUGGAGGCCAGGGAAGUAUUGACGGAGGAAGGGGCAGGCUCGUCAACGCGCUACUGGGGCCUCAUCAUCAUCGCAACCACAAGGCCUUGGCAUCACUAAAUUGACGCAUGAGGUGGCUAACUUGAGGAGUAAGCUCGCGUUGAUCGUUAAGACCUUCAACUCGAACGGCAUCUAUCUCCCACCCGGCAUUGCAAUCCCCUUCACCUCCAAGCCACAAAACCAGUCGACCUCCGAGCUCAUCCACGAGCCCGACCGUCAUCCUCCCCAACACGCUAACUCGCAGCCCGUUCAGCAGCCAAACUUCCAGCCCGACCAACAAACUACCCCAUUUAAUAACCAAAUAGAUUAUAGGUUUCUUUUUUCUUAGUUUUAAACGUUUUACUUGUACGUACAUUUUUAUUUGAUAUAUAAAUGUUAUUUUUUUUCCUCCAUUCAUU